rnacentral:rRNA from 1 species
UAGGGAAUCUUCGGCAAUGGACGGAAGUCUGACCGAGCAACGCCGCGUGAGUGAAGAAGGUUUUCGGAUCGUAAAGCUCUGUUGUUAGAGAAGAACGUUGGUAGGAGUGGAAAAUCUACCAAGUGACGGUAACUAACCAGAAAGGGACGGCUAACUACGUGCCAGCAGCCGCGGUAAUACGUAGGUCCCGAGCGUUGUCCGGAUUUAUUGGGCGUAAAGCGAGCGCAGGCGGUUAUUUAAGUCUGAAGUUAAAGGCAGUGGCUUAACCAUUGUACGCUUUGGAAACUGGAGGACUUGAGUGCAGAAGGGGAGAGUGGAAUUCCAUGUGUAGCGGUGACAUGCGUAGAUAUAUGGAGGAACACCGGUGGCGAAAGCGGCUCUCUGGUCUGUAACUGACGCUGAGGCUCGAAAGCGUGGGGAGCAAACAGG